GAUGAACGCUGGCGGCGUGCUUAACACACGCAAGUCGAACGGUGAACGAGGGAGCUUGCUCCCUCCGGAUCAGUGGCGAACGGGUGAGUAACACGUGAGCAAUCUGCCCUGGACUCUGGGAUAAGCGUUGGAAACGACGUCUAAUACCGGAUACGAGACGCGAAGGAAUCCUCAGCGUCUGGAAAGAACUUCGGUCCAGGAUGAGCUCGCGGCCUAUCAGGUAGUUGGUGAGGUAACGGCUCACCAAGCCUACGACGGGUAGCCGGCCUGAGAGGGUGACCGGCCACACUGGGACUGAGACACGGCCCAGACUCCUACGGGAGGCAGCAGUGGGGAAUAUUGCACAAUGGGCGCAAGCCUGAUGCAGCAACGCCGCGUGAGGGACGACGGCCUUCGGGUUGUAAACCUCUUUUAGCAGGGAAGAAGCGAAAGUGACGGUACCUGCAGAAAAAGCACCGGCUAACUACGUGCCAGCAGCCGCGGUAACAC
rnacentral:rRNA from 1 species